rnacentral:rRNA from 1 species
UACAGAGGUCUCAAGCGUUGUUCGGAUUCAUUGGGCGUAAAGGGUGCGUAGGCGGCGCGGUAAGUCGGGUGUGAAAUCUCGGAGCUUAACUCCGAAACUGCAUUCGAUACUGCCGUGCUUGAGGACUGGAGAGGAGACUGGAAUUUACGGUGUAGCGGUGAAAUGCGCAGAUAUCAGGAGGAACACCGGUGGCGAAGGCGGUUCUCUGGGCAUGUUCUGACGCUGAGGAGCGAAAGUGUGGGGAGCGAACAGG